rnacentral:lncRNA from 10 species
GUCCUGACUUGAGUCUGAUGUUAUGAGUCACUGGGGAGAUAUAAUAUGCUGAUUGCUGAACCAGACUAUGAAAAUUAUGUUAGACAAAAAGCAAAUUCGAGAGAUUUUAUUUGAGUUCAAAAUGGGUUGUAAAGCAUCAGAGACAACUUGCAACAUCAAUAACGCAUUUGGCCCAGGAUCUGCUAAUGAACGUACAGUGCAGUGGUGGUUCGAGAAGUUUUGCAAAGGGGACGAGAUCCUUGAAGAUGAGGAGUGUAGUGGCCGGUCAUCACAAGCUGACAACAGCCAAUUGAGAGCAAUCAUCAAAGCUCAUCCUCUUAUAACUACAUGAGAAGUUGCUGAAGAACUCAACCACGACCAUUCUGCGAUUGUUCAGCAUUUGAAGAAAAUUGGAAGGGUGAAAAAGCUUGGCAAGUGAGUGCCUCACGAGUUGAGUGAAAAUGUAAAAAAUCGUUAUUUUGAAGCAUUGUCUUAUUCUACACAAAAACAACAAACCAUUUCUCAAUCGGAUUGUGACAUGCGACAAAAAGUGAAUUUUAUUUGACAACCAGCAAUGACCAGCUCAGUGGUUGGACAGAGAAGAAGCUCCAAAGCACUUCCCAAAGCCAAACUUGCACCAAAUAAAGGUCAUGGUCACUAUUUGCUGGUCUGCUGCUGGUCUGAUCCGCUACGGCUUUCUGAAUCCUGGCGAAACCAUUACAUCCAAGAAGUAUGAUCAGCAAAUCAAUGAGAUGCACCGAAAACUGCAAUGCCUGCAGCCAGCAUUGGUCAACAGAAAGGGGCCCAAUUCUUCUCCAUGAAAACGCCGGACCACACAUCGGACAACCAACACUUCAAAAGUUGAACGAAUUGGGCUAUGAGGCUCUGCUUCAUCCACCAUAUUCAACUGACCUCUCCCAAUCAACUACCACUUCUUCAAGCUUCUUGAUGACUUUUUGCCAGGAAAAUGCUUCCACAACCAGCAGGAUGCAGAAAAUGCUUUCCAAGAGUUUGUUGAAUCCCAAAGCGUCGAUUUUUACACUACAGGAAUAAACAAAUUUCUUAUUGGUAAAAAGUUCUUGAUUGUAA